UACGAAGGGGGCUAGCGUUGCUCGGAAUCACUGGGCGUAAAGGGCGCGUAGGCGGCGGGGUAAGUCUGGUGUGAAAUCUCGGAGCUCAACUCCGAAAUUGCACUGGAUACUGCUCUGCUAGAGGGCUGGAGAGGAGAUCGGAAUUCACGGUGUAGCAGUGAAAUGCGUAGAUAUCGUGAGGAAGACCAGUGGCGAAGGCGGAUCUCUGGACAGCGUCCUGACGCUGAGGCGCGAAGGCUAGGGGAGCAAACGGG
rnacentral:rRNA from 1 species